rnacentral:rRNA from 1 species
GAAACGCUGGCGGGCGGGUCUUACACAUGCAAGUCGAACGAUGAAGCUGGAGCUUGCUCCGGUGGAUUAGUGGCGAACGGGUGAGUAACACGUGAGCAAUCUGCCCUUCGCUCUGGGAUAACUGCGGGAAACUGUAGCUAAUACCGGAUACGAAGCCUUGGGGCAUCCCAGGGCUUGGAAAGAAUUUCGGUGAAGGAUGAGCUCGCGGCCUAUCAGCUAGUUGGUGAGGUAAUGGCUCACCAAGGCGACGACGGGUAGCCGGCCUGAGAGGGUGACCGGCCACACUGGGACUGAGACACGGCCCAGACUCCUACGGGAGGCAGCAGUGGGGAAUAUUGCACAAUGGGCGAAAGCCUGAUGCAGCAACGCCGCGUGAGUGGAUGAAGGCCUUCGGGUUGUAAACCUCUUUUAGUAGGGAAGAAGCGCAAGUGACGGUACCUACAGAAAAAGCACCGGCUAACUACGUGCCAGCAGCCGCGGUAAUACGUAGGGUGCAAGCGUUGUCCGGAAUUAUUGGGCGUAAAGAGCUCGUAGCGGUUUGUCGCGUCUGCUGUGAAAACCUGAAGCUCAACUUCAGGCCUGCAGUGGGUACGGGCAAAACUAGAGUGCGGUAGGGGAGAACGGGAAUUCCUGGUGUAGCGGUGGAAUGCGCAGAUAUCAGGAGGAACACCGAU